rnacentral:rRNA from 1 species
UCUCAUUCGGAUUGGAGUCUGCAACUCGACUCCAUGAAGCUGGAUUCGCUAGUAAUCGCGCAUCAGCCAUGGCGCGGUGAAUACGUUCCCGGGCCCUUGUACACACCGCCCGCCAAGCCAUGGAAGCCGGGGGUGCCUGAAGUGCGUGACCGCAAGGAGCGCCCUAAGGUAAAACCGGUGACUGGGGCUAAGUCGUAACAAGGUAGC